UACGUAGGGUGCGAACGUUAAUCGGAAUUACUGGGCGUAAAGCGUGCGCAGGCGGUUUUGUAAGCCAGAUGUGAAAUCCCCGGGCUUAACCUGGGAAUGGCAUUUGGGACUGCAAGGCUGGAGUGUGGCAGAGGAGACUGGAAUUCCCGGUGUAGCAGUGAAAUGCGUAGAUAUCGGGAGGAAUACCGAUGGCGAAGGCAGGUCUCUGGGCUGACACUGACGCUCAUGCACGAAAGCGUGGGGAGCAAACAGG
rnacentral:rRNA from 1 species